ACCAAGCUAAGCAAAAAGAACAUAAGUGAAGAAGCCAUGAAAUUGCCUAACAACCAAAGAGAACACCACAGCCGUGGGAGUAGUGAAGGGGAACCAGACGAUGCUGGGUAUUCCACAGUGCAACCUGGUAACAGCUGUUGCUGUCCAGUGGAAGAGCACAUACGAGAUGCUCUCCCAUCUUCUUGAUCAGCAGCCUGCCAUCUGUGCUUCCCUCUCAUCUUCUGAGGCAUAAAGAACACCAUCCAUCAAGACCUUCCAAAGAG